GCGACGGUAGUAUAGUGGUUAUUACAUCGGACUGUGGAUCCGAUAACGAGAGUUCGAUUCUCCCCCGUCGCU
rnacentral:tRNA from 1 species